CCUAAUAUUUCCUCAAAUUUCAAUUUUCCACAAACUUUUUCCUCUAAGUGGAAACACUUACAAGCAUGAUCCAAUAAAAAAGUUUAGGGUUGGGAUUUCGACGUCCAAAAGCUAGGUAGGGUCGGGAAACCAGAAACCCACAUUUUUUUUUUGGCCCAAAGCCAUAUAAAACCAUGCACUCUCAAGUGACCAAAUAACAAUUAGCAGAUGCUUAAAAUGUUGUCAGUCACAUUGAAGUCGAGUGAUCAAAUGGUCUCAUAGUGACCAUUGCAUAUCUGCGUAAAAUAUUUGCGUGACCUUGCUUGUGACGUAACAAGCAUAUCCACAAUAAUCCUAGACUUGCUCCAAGUCUCUCUUUCAUUGUCCUAUAGUAUCGAUCCACUAUAGUGUACAUUACAUGAGGUAGCACGGAGAGGCGGAGCGAGAAAGAGAGACUUGUCAACUUCGGAAAAUUCAGCCGUUCCGCACGUUGUAACCAAUAAUCUAUUGGCGUUGUAAUGCCAUUGUAUGCAAUAAAGUAUUGGGUUAUAAUGGGUCUACGAUUAAUCCAAACGUUAAUCCUAAUCCAAACCCUAACCUCUAACCCCUAACCAACCUCUAACCCCCACCCCUAACCCUAAAGCUGGUGGCCCGCUACCCCUCGGGGGAAAAAGCACUACCGCCUCCCUGCGAUCCACCAAGCUAAGUCAAUUACAUUUAUAACUAAAACUUUUGUCUAAUGCUUGUGGUUUUGUCUUCAGUUACAACCCAAUACUUUAUUGCAUACAAUGG